CCCACCGUUAAAACGGUGGGCUAUUUUCGAUUGCCCCUCCGGGGCG
rnacentral:sRNA from 1 species